AUUGAACGCUGGCGGCAGGCCUAACACAUGCAAGUCGAACGAGUGGCGGACGGGUGAGUAAUGUUUGGGAAAUUGCCUGAUGGAGGGGGAUAAAUACUGGAAACGGUAGCUAAUACCGCAUCCCAUCGGAUGUGCCCAUAUGGGAUUAGCUAGUAGGUGGGGUAAAGGCUCACCUAGGCGACGAUCCCUAGCUGGUCUGAGAGGAUGACCAGCCACACUGGAACUGAGACACGGUCCAGACUCCUACGGGAGGCAGCAGUGGGGAAUAUUGCACAAUGGGCGCAAGCCUGAUGCAGCCAUGCCGCGUGUAUGAAGAAGGCCUUCGGGUUGUAAAGUACUUUCAGCGGGGAGGCGUUACCCGCAGAAGAAGCACCGGCUAACUCCGUGCCAGCAGCCGCGGUAAUUC
rnacentral:rRNA from 1 species